rnacentral:rRNA from 1 species
AUAAUGACUCUCGGCAACGGAUAUCUCGGCUCUCGCAUCGAUGAAGAACGCAGCGAAAUGCGAUACUUGGUGUGAAUUGCAGAAUCCCGUGAACCAUCGAGUCUUUGAACGCAAGUUGCGCCCGAAGCCAUUAGGCUGAGGGCACGUCUGCCUGGGUGUCACAC